UCUCCUGGAAACGGGUGGUAAUGCCGGAUGUUCCACAUGAGCGCAUGCGAGUGUGGGAAAGGCUUUUUGCGGCAUGGGAUGGGGUCGCGUCCUAUCAGCUUGUUGGUGGGGUAACGGCCUACCAAGGCGUUGACGGGUAGCCGGCCUGAGAGGGCGACCGGCCACAUUGGGACUGAGAUACGGCCCAGACUCCUACGGGAGGCAGCAGUGGGGAAUAUUGCACAAUGGGCGCAAGCCUGAUGCAGCGACGCCGCGUGCGGGAUGGAGGCCUUCGGGUUGUAAACCGCUUUUGUUCAAGGGCAAGGCACGGUUUCGGCCGUGUUGAGUGGAUUGUUCGAAUAAGCACCGGCUAACUACGUGCCAGCAGCCGCGGUAAUACGUAGGGUGCAAGCGUUAUCCGGAUUUAUUGGGCGUAAAGGGCUCGUAGGCGGUUCGUCGCGUCCGGUGUGAAAGUCCAUCGCUUAACGGUGGAUCCGCGCCGGGUACGGGCGGGCUUGAGUGCGGUAGGGGAGACUGGAAUUCCCGGUGUAACGGUGGAAUGUGUAGAUAUCGGGAAGUACACCA
rnacentral:rRNA from 1 species